ensembl:lncRNA
AACAGGGUCAUAAGAGUAUUUAAUAGAAAAAUGAGUCAGAGGAAAGCUUGGUUAUUUUAAUGACUGUAAAUGUGUAGUUAUCUUAGUUUUCUCCAUUAAUGGUCACAAUCAGAGUAGAAAAUAGGAUAGAUUAACUCAAUAUAGUGGAGGCAAAAGAAAUUGAUGUUUUUCAGGUGUAGCCAUGGGUAUGAAGCUGAGGACCAUGGGAAAUAAGAGGUCAAGGAAUUAUGAGAUUCGGCUGUUAUCUGGCAAUCUUCAUAGAUACUGGUCUCCAGAGGAUGUAAAGAUUAAAAACGAAUGCCUGUGCUUCUUCCAGCCCAGCAUUUCUCAUGAUGUACUCUGCUGCUCCUGCUGCUAAGUCACUUCAGUCAUGUCCGACUCUGUGCGACCACACAGACGUCAGCCAAGCAGGCUCCCCCAUCCCUGGGAUUCUCCAGGCAAGAACAUAGGAGUGGGUUGCCAUUUCCUUCUCCAAUGCAUGAAAGUGAAAAGUGAAAGUGAAGUCACUCAGUCGUGUCCGACUGCAGCGAGACCAUGGACUGCAGCCUACCAGGCUCCUCCGUCAAUGGGAUUUUCCAGGCAAGAAUGUUGGCGGUUUGAUAUCUGGUUCCUCUGCCUUCUCUAAAACCAGCUUGAACAUCUGGAAGUUCACGGUUCACGUAUUGCUGAGGCCUGGAUUGGAGAACUUUGAGCAUUACUUUACUGGCAUGUGAGAUG